AGUGAACGCUGGCGGUAGGCCUAACACAUGCAAGUCGAACGGCAGCACAGGAGAGCUUGCUCUCUGGGUGGCGAGUGGCGGACGGGUGAGGAAUACAUCGGAAUCUACUCUGUCGUGGGGGAUAACGUAGGGAAACUUACGCUAAUACCGCAUACGACCUACGGGUGAAAGCAGGGGACCUUCGGGCCUUGCGCGAUUGAAUGAGCCGAUGUCGGAUUAGCUAGUUGGCGGGGUAAAGGCCCACCAAGGCGACGAGCCGUAGCUGGUCUGAGAGGAUGAUCAGCCACACUGGAACUGAGACACGGUCCAGACUCCUACGGGAGGCAGCAGUGGGGAAUAUUGGACAAUGGGCGCAGGCCUGAUCCAGCCAUACCGCGUGGGUGAAGAAGGCCUUCGGGUUGUAAAGCCCUUUUGUUGGGAAAGAAAUCCAGCUGGCUAAUACCCGGUUGGGAUGACGGUACCCAAAGAAUAAGCACCGGCUAACUUCGUGCCAGCAGCCGCAGUAA
rnacentral:rRNA from 1 species